UUUAAUCUUUAAAAAUGAUUAUCUUUAUUGAGAGUUGGUGAUUGUUUACUUUUCUCGUUGUGUUAAUUGUUGACAAUCAAAAGGAUUUACACCAAUGAAGUAAUGAUUGUAAGAGAGAUAAAGUUCUUAACAUGAGGUCCACCAUGUUUGUAAUUGCAAUUGAUUCUGUUAUUGGAAAAGAUUGAUGAGAGUUCUACUCUCUAAUCCAAGGUUUCCAUUGAGAGAUAUUGAAUCUCUAAGCGGAUAAUGUGUCUUUUUGCCUCACAUAUGAUUUGAUGUAAUGAAGGAGUAAACAGAUAGACAGAAUUGGGAAAAAAUUGCCAAGAUAAACAACUAUUGUGAUUAUAACAUAUUUUGAUUGUAGUGAUUAUGUCAACAUGGUAAACAUCAAUUCUGUCACAUUAUAAGGAUAAAAUGAACUGAGAGAGAAAGACUAACAUUAGGAUGUCAAUUGCAAAAAAGAGACGUCAGCUUAUUGAGACGAAGAUUGAAUAGAAAAUAAAUUGUUAAUUCAUCAAACUGAAUUAGAAUCAAUUGUGGUGAAUAGACUAUUUCAAUUACUAUUGAUUAAUGAGGAAGAUAAGUGACUUUUUGUUUACUCCAUGGAUUCGAACCGAAAGAUAUUCAACGACCAAAGGCCUAAGGAAAUUGAAAGGUUAAUUUGUUUUCGUUUGGAUGUUAUCAUGUCCAGAAUCUGAGGAUUAAAACAAGAAACGGAAAUUAGUUUAAUCAUUUCUGUGAUAAUCUCAAGAUUCUAAUUAUCAUCAACAAUCAACAAGAUUUUAAUCAUUGUGUAUAAAAGAAAGAGAGACUUCAAGUGGAUGUAAAUUGCUAAUUGUUGUGAAUAGUAAUUAAACCA